ACGCGUCAAUGUCUACUACAAUGAAGCUUCUUGCGGAAGGUUUGUUCCUCGUGUAGUGCUCAUGGAUCUGGAGCCUGGAACCAUGGAUAGUGUACGGGCUGGCCCGUACGGCCAGAUCUUCCGUCCAGAUAACUUUGUUUUUGGACAGUCUGAUGCCGGGAAUAACUGGGCCAAGGGUCAUUACACGGAAGGAGCAGAGAUGAUUGACUCGGCUCUUG